rnacentral:lncRNA from 1 species
UAAUCGACUGGGCUAUUAUUAAAAGCUUGAAAUAUAAAAGUUCAAGAACAAAAUCCCAGCAGUGCUGGGCUGGAUAAAAAAAAUAAACAAAAAUAAAACGUAGGCUACAAGCCCAAAUAAGUAAAAACAGAAAAUAAAGCCUAAAAAAACAUAAAUCAAAACGUCAUUUCCCAGUCAACUCAACCAGCCUGGCCUCCAUUAUUUUUCAUCUUUUCAUUUCCAAAGCACCAGGCUUUUCAGAUGAUAGCAUUAAAAAUGUCUGCUUUAGCUAUCUCUUGCCGUUUCAUUUCCAUUCCAUCAAAUCCUUUCAAUCAGGUUUUCGUGGCCAUCUUUCUCCUGAGUCCAGAUCUUCUCUCGUCUCUUCCACCAGGUAACUCCCUUUCCCUUUUCUUAGUGCCUCUUUCGCCAGGUCAUGCGCCUUACCAUUCUCUGUUCUUUGUAUGAAUCGAAAAACAAUGUUUUGGAAUCGAUUUUUGUUGUUCUGAAUAUCAAUCAUGAUCGCACUUAGAACCGAUUUAUCUUUGACCCCUACUUUGCACCUGUUGAUUAUUGUUUUCGAAUCCCCCAUUACCGUGACUGAGUUAAAGCCCAAUCUAAUGCCUAAUCUGGUUGCUUCUAAACAUGCCAAUGCUUCUGCUACAAACAGAGAGGAAAUGUUGGAGUGAAGAGUGGACUUAGAGACUACGAUUUCCCCAUUUUGACCCCUGGCUACCAUUCCUGAUGCUGAUUUGGAGUUGGUGUCGAAAGCUGCGUCAAACUGUAUGGACUUCCCUAGUACCUCUUCUCUGUGUUCGGAUCUACCAGUCGUGGUGGUAAUUUUUCUUUCUCGCACAACUUCAAGCUCUCCUAAGUAACUCUGUACUUUAAUAGUUAGAUCCCUUCCUGAUGAACUCUUCCUUUCAUGGAGCAUCUGAUUUCUCGAGCUCCAGAUAACCCAUAAGGUGCAACAAAAAAUACGGAUCUGCUCCUUUGUUCCUCUACUGAAUACCCAAGUGAGCCAUGACCAUGUAUUCUGAUCUGUAUGUUCUGUUACCCAUGCCAUAUUGAGACUAAUCCAUGCAUCCAUGCUUAUAGGACAUUGUCUGAACACAUGAAAGCUGUCUUCUUCUUCAGAACAACCACGUGGACACCUUGCAGUAGUGGUCACUCUCUUUUGUCUGAGGUUAGCAAGUGAAGGGAUGUAGUUCCAAGAUAUUCGCCAUACGAGAAUUAGGAUUUUUGUUGGUAACUGUAAACUCCAUAAUUUCCUGUAGAAAUCUUUGGUAUCGGUCUGUAAUAAAUAAUUACUAGGAUCCAAGCUAGCUUCUUGUAAUAGUUUGUAGGCAAUUUUAAUACGAGGUAUAUGUGAUACAUUAUGUGACUUUCAUCAGUUAUAUUAGUUUUUAAUAGAAAUGACUAAUUUACUCUUUGAGCAAAAUGUAAUUUGACUCUUAGGGUGCGUUUGGUUCGCUGUAUUGGAUUAGAGGUGUAUUGGAUUAGAGGUGUAUUGGGAUUAGAGGUGUAUUGGAUUAGUGGUGUAAUAGCUAAUCCACUGUUUGGUUGAAUGUAAUGGAAUAGAGGCGUAAUAGUAAUCUUGUGUUUGGUUGAAUGGAAUAGAGGUGUAAUAGCAUAAUGGAAAAAACUAAAAUGACUAGAAUACCCUUAGCAUAAAAUUAUUUUGGUAAAUGAUUAUUGUUAUUGUUAUUUAAAUUUUAAUAAGAU